UUGCUUUAUGAGAUACUUUGCUUCUUGCUUUAUGAGAUACCUUGCUUCUUGUUUUAUGAGAUACUUUGCUUCUUGCUUUAUGAGAUACUUUGCUUCUUGUUUUAUGAGAUACUUUGCUUCUUGCUUUAUGAGAUACUUUGCUUCUUGCUUUAUGAGAUACCUUGCUUCUUGCUUUAUGAGAUACCUUGCUUCUUGUUUUAUGAGAUACCUUGCUUCUUGUUUUAUGAGAUACUUUGCUUCUUGUUUUAUGAGAUACCUUGCUUCUUGUUUUAUGAGAUACCUUGCUUCUUGUUUUAUGAGAUACUUUGCUUCUUGUUUUAUGAGAUACCUUGCUUCUUGUUUUAUGAGAUACCCUGCUUCUUGUUUUAUGAGAGACCUUGCUUCUUGCUUUAUGAGAGACCUUGCUUCUUUUCAGUUGCUGCACACCUUUCGUUUUCUGUCUUCCCAAUAACUUUCUUUACUUCGUCCAGUCCAGCAAAACGGGACAGUUCAUAUCGUUCCCAAUACUCAGGUUUAUAGGCUCGUAAAUAACUUGAUUGAUACCAGAACAUUUUUUUAAUCUUAUAUCUUUGUCAUGUAGCCUUUAUUUGAGGCUAGAAGCUGCUACAUGGCAAAAGUAAUACAAUUCGCUACAAUUUUAGAAGAUAGUUAACAAGAAUAGAAGAAGUAUAGAAGAAAAACUAUAGAAGAAGAACUAUAGAAGAGGAACUAUAGAAGAGGAACUAUAGAAGAGGAACUAUAGAAGAGGAACUAUAGAAGAGGAACUAUAGAAGAAGAACUAUAGAAGAGGAACUAUAGAAGAGGAACUAUAGAAGAGGAACUAUAGAAGAAGAACUAUAGAAGAGGAACUAUAGAAGAGGAACUAUAGAAGAGGAACUAUAGAAGAGGAACUAUAGAAGAAGAACUAUAGAAGAGGAACUAUAGAAGAGGAACUAUAGAAGAAGAACUAUAGAAGAGGAACUAUAGAAGAGGAACUAUAGAAGAAGAACUAUAGAAGAAGAACUAUAGAAGAGGAACUAUAGAAGAGGAACUAUAGAAAAAGAACUAUAGAAGAGGAACUAUAGAAGAGCUUUUAGUGCCCCGUUUAGAAGGAAAGCUACAAGUCUUUAUUAGUACGGUCCCAGGAGGUCAUCUAAUCCCCUUCUCACACAGCAGACACACACACACAUACAAGGAACAGAGACACACAGGAGACACAUAGAUCAUAGUUUUAUUCCUUAGCGCUACAAGUGGAGUAAUACUGUACAUGGCUGGGGGGAGGGGUCGAGUAGGUUCCCCCCCCCGUAUAGGAACGCCCAGAGCAGACUGCAGGAAUGUUCUUGGGUGACAGCACGGCCAGGGAGAGCCAGGGAGACAGUGACCAGGGAGGGAGAGGAAGGGAGGGGAAGGAAAAGAGGAAUAACUGUCAUGAAUAAGGGAGAUAAGGUUGUAGAUUUUAGAGGGAGUGGUGUGCUUUCAAGGGAGGGGAGGAAGGGAGGGAGAGGAUAGGAAGGAAAAGAAGAAAAGGGAGAGGAAGGGAGGGGAAGGAAAAGAGGAAGAGGCAGGGAGGGAGAAUAACUGUCAUGAAUAAGGGAGAUAAGGUUGUAGAUUUUAGAGGAAGGGAGUGGUGUGCUUUCAAGGGAGGGAGAGGAUAGGAAGGAAAAAAAAAAGGGAGAGGAAGGGAGGGAAGGAAAUACUAGCUGAAGGAAGAGAGGUAAGGGAGUACUUUUGGGGGUAAGGGAGUUUUGAGUGCAGGAGGAGGGAAAGAGAAUAACAGAAAGGGUGAGGGAGAGGAAAGGAGAGAAGGGAGUUUAUGGAACAGGUUUUAUGGGUAGAGAGAGAGAGAGAGAGAGAGAGAGAGAGAGAGAAUGGAGGACUUACAGGGAGGAAAGGAAGGAGGUAACAGCUGGAGGGUAUAGUGUCCCUCCUUCCUCUUUCCUCCUCCUCCUCCUCCUCCUCCUCCUCCUCCUCUGGUCACGAUCGUCCUCAGUAAAUUCUCUACUUAUUUUAUUUUUUUUCUUCACCUCAAAACAAACAACAAAAAAUAUAAAUAAUAAUAAUACGAAAAUAACGAUGCGAUACAAAAAAAUUCUACGACACGGAAUACGAAAAUAAAGCGAUACGGAGAGUCACGUCUAUAAUAAUAAUAAUAAUAAUAAUAAUGAUAAUAAUGAUAAUGAGUAUAAAGUUGAUGUCUGUCGUCGUAUUUUGCUUUAUUGGGGAGUUUGUCUGUCUGUUUUUAUUACGACUAUUAACAUUAACAUUAUUUAUUUAUUCUCUUUUAUCCUUCACAAAACUUAAAUUAUUCUUUUAUAUUUACUGUAUGUACAUUUCCUAGCACGAGUAGUUAACAUCACGGCAACGCUUUACUAACUACGAGACUACACACACACACACACACACACACACACACACAAAAAAAAAAAAAAAAAAAAAAGAUGAACUCAUACGUACACACACUAAAAAAAGGUGAACACAUUAGUACACUCACAUUCUCUCUCUCUCUCUCUCUCUCUCUCUCUCUCUCUCUCUCUCUCUCUCUCUCUCUCUCUCUCUCUCAUUAGUACACUCACAUACUCUCUCUCUCUCUCUCUCUCUCUCUCUCUCUCUCUCUCUCUCUCUCUCAUACAUAUAUAUACUCUCUCUAUAAUUAACUCUUGAUUGCUGGAUGAUGAGUCUCCUUCACCUAAAUAAUGCCUCACUGUAGAGUCCUUCAGUGCACACAAUGACUUCACUAUAAGACAUAACGAUAGUGACUGGAUAACACAUACAUGGCUACUCGUGGUGAUGAUGGUGAUGAUGAUGAUGAUGAUGGUGAUGAUGGUGGUGGUGAUGGUGAUUGCUUUGGUAAUAUUAUAAGACGCGGGUCCCGGCUUGACACACUCACUAUCACUGGCUUUCACUCAGUCAGUCUCACUUAUUGCCUUGAGUAUCUGACACGGAGUAAAGUCUUGAGGUGUUAAUUAAUGUCUCCGCUCAGGUAAGUCACGGAGACACCUUAAUGAGAUACCUUGCUUCUUUCCACCUGCUACACACCUUUCGUUUUCUUUCUUCCCAAUAACUUUCUUUACCUCUUUCAUUGUCACUGUGAUCACUCGGGAGAGAUUCUGAUUUGAUUUUUCAUUUCACUCAUAUUUUCUUCGUAAUUUUUCUUUAUAUGAGCUUUUGGGAUGGAAGUUUGUGUGUUUUCCUUCUUUGUAGCUGCUGGUUUUCCUCUCGUUCUUGUUGUGCAUCAGCGGUAGGACACGGAGGAACUAAAUAUGGCACUAGAUUGGGGUAGAGAGUUGUAGAAAGGAAAGGAAAUGCUGGGGAAGAAGAGAGGGGACGAGCUAGCUAAGACUUCAGUAAAGGAAAGGAAAUACUGGGGAAGAUGAAAGGGGGACGAGCUAGCUAAGACUUCGGUAGAGAGAAAA